AGAACGAACGCUGGCGGCAUGCUUAACACAUGCAAGUCGAACGAGACCGCUGACUUCGGUUGGCGUGUCUAGUGGCGCACGGGUGCGUAACGCGUGGGAAUCUGCCCUUAGGUACGGAAUAACUCAGAGAAAUUUGUGCUAAUACCGUAUGAUGUCGCAAGACCAAAGAUUUAUCGCCUAAGGAUGAGCCCGCGUAAGAUUAGCUUGUUGGUGAGGUAAAAGCUCACCAAGGCGACGAUCUUUAGCUGGUCUGAGAGGAUGAUCAGCCACACUGGGACUGAGACACGGCCAGACUCCGUAGGGAGCAGCAGGUGGGAAUAGUUGGACAAGUGGGACGAAAGCCUGACUCCGAGCAUCGCCGCGUGAGUGAGUGAAGGUCCGUUAGGUUAGUAACGUCCCUUUACGAGGUAUAGUAAUAU
rnacentral:rRNA from 1 species